GUCCACGCCCUAAACGAUGUCAACUAGGUUGUUGGGUAUGUAAAUACUUAGUAACGCAGCUAACGCGAGAAGUUGACCGCCUGGGGAGUACGGUCGCAAGAUUAAAACUCAAAAGAAAUUGACGGGGACCCGCACAAGCGGUGGAUGAUGUGGAUUAAUUCGAUGCAACGCGAAAACCUUACCUACCCUUGACAUGGAUAGAAAUCCUGAAAGAGAUUUAGGAGUGACUCGAAAAGAGAACUAUUACACAGGUGCUGCAUGGCUGUCGU
rnacentral:rRNA from 1 species